rnacentral:ribozyme from 1 species
AAUUCUGCUUGAGCACAAUGUCUCCAACGACAACGACUUGCUCUUUAAGAUGUACCAGAUUGAGGUGGUGGACGAGGACACAAAUACCACAAUCACUUACACGUCAGAGUACGAGG